UACGGAGGAUCCGAGCGUUAUCCGGAUUUAUUGGGUUUAAAGGGUUAGCGUAGGCGGCUUUUUAAGUUCAGCGGUGAAAUUUUGCAAGCUUAACUGUAACAGUGCCGUUGAUACUGGGGAGCUAGGAUUUGGUUGCUGUGUGUGGAAUGUGUGGUGUAGCGGUGAAAUGCUUAAGAGAUCACACAGAAUAUCGAUUGCGAAGGCAGCUCACAAAGCCAAGAUUGACGCUGAGGCACGAAAGUGUGGGGAUCGAAACAGGAUUA
rnacentral:rRNA from 1 species